rnacentral:rRNA from 1 species
AUUGAACGCUGGCGGCAGGCCUAACACAUGCAAGUCGAACGAGUGGCGGACGGGUGAGUAAUGUCUGGGAAACUGCCUGAUGGAGGGGGAUAACUACUGGAAACGGUAGCUAAUCCCGCAUACCAUCGGAUGUGCCCAGGUGGGAUUCGCUAGUAGGUGGGGUAAAGGCUCACCUAGGCGACGAUCCCUAGCUGGUCUGAGAGGAUGACAAGCAACACGGGAACUGAGACACGGUCCAGACUCCUACGUGAGGCAGAAGUGGGAAAUAUUGCACACUGGGCGCAAGCCUGAUUCAGCCAUGCCGCGUGUAUGAAGAAGGCCUUCGGGUUGUAAAGUACUUUCAGCGGGGAGGCGUUACCCGCAGAAGAAGCACCGGCUAACUCCGUGCCAGCAGCCGCGGUAAUAC